CAAAAUAAAGCUUAAUUAUCCCUAAGCAUCUCAUUUACAUCGAGAAGAAUAAUUGUGAAAAUCAAUUUAUUUUGAA
rnacentral:tRNA from 1 species